AAAUUGAAGAGUUUGAUCAUGGCUCAGAUUGAACGCUGGCGGCAGGCCUAACACAUGCAAGUCGAACGGUAACAGGAAACAGCUUGCUGUUUCGCUGACGAGUGGCGGACGGGUGAGUAAUGUCUGGGAAACUGCCUGAUGGAGGGGGAUAACUACUGGAAACGGUAGCUAAUACCGCAUAACGUCGCAAGACCAAAGAGGGGGACCUUCGGGCCUCUUGCCAUCGGAUGUGCCCAGAUGGGAUUAGCUUGUUGGUGGGGUAACGGCUCACCAAGGCGACGAUCCCUAGCUGGUCUGAGAGGAUGACCAGCCACACUGGAACUGAGACACGGUCCAGACUCCUACGGGAGGCAGCAGUGGGGAAUAUUGCACAAUGGGCGCAAGCCUGAUGCAGCCAUGCCGCGUGUAUGAAGAAGGCCUUCGGGUUGUAAAGUACUUUCAGCGGGGAGGAAGGGAGUAAAGUUAAUACCUUUACUCAUUGACGUUACCCGCAGAAGAAGCACCGGCUAACUCCGUGCCAGCAGCCGCGGUAAUACGGAGGGUGCAAGCGUUAAUCGGAAUUACUGGGCGUAAAGCGCACGCAGGCGGUUUGUUAAGUCAGAUGUGAAAUCCCCGGGCUCAACCUGGGAACUGCAUCUGAUACUGGCAAGCUUGAGUCUCGUAGAGGGGGUAGAAUUCCAGGUGUAGCGGUGAAAUGCGUAGAGAUCUGGAGGAAUACCGGUGGCGAAGGCGGCCCCCUGGACGAAGACUGACGCUCAGGUGCGAAAGCGUGGGGAGCAAACAGGAUUAGAUACCCUGGUAGUCCACGCCGUAAACGAUGUCGACUUGGAGGUUGUGCCCUUGAGGCGUGGCUUCCGGAGCUAACGCGUUAAGUCGACCGCCUGGGGAGUACGGCCGCAAGGUUAAAACUCAAAUGAAUUGACGGGGGCCCGCACAAGCGGUGGAGCAUGUGGUUUAAUUCGAUGCAACGCGAAGAACCUUACCUGGUCUUGACAUCCACGGAAGUUUUCAGAGAUGAGAAUGUGCCUUCGGGAACCGUGAGACAGGUGCUGCAUGGCUGUCGUCAGCUCGUGUUGUGAAAUGUUGGGUUAAGUCCCGCAACGAGCGCAACCCUUAUCCUUUGUUGCCAGCGGUCCGGCCGGGAACUCAAAGGAGACUGCCAGUGAUAAACUGGAGGAAGGUGGGGAUGACGUCAAGUCAUCAUGGCCCUUACGACCAGGGCUACACACGUGCUACAAUGGCGCAUACAAAGAGAAGCGACCUCGCGAGAGCAAGCGGACCUCAUAAAGUGCGUCGUAGUCCGGAUUGGAGUCUGCAACUCGACUCCAUGAAGUCGGAAUCGCUAGUAAUCGUGGAUCAGAAUGCCACGGUGAAUACGUUCCCGGGCCUUGUACACACCGCCCGUCACACCAUGGGAGUGGGUUGCAAAAGAAGUAGGUAGCUUAACCUUCGGGAGGGCGCUUACCACUUUGUGAUUCAUGACUGGGGUGAAGUCGUAACAAGGUAACCGUAGGGGAACCUGCGGUUGGAUCACCUCCUUACCUUAAAGAAGC
rnacentral:rRNA from 1 species